AUGGCCGCCGCAUUAGCAGCGCCUACAGGCCUCCUCAAGCUCCCUCCUUCUUACGCGCCGCCUUCUUCCCCCUCUCCCCCUCUCUCCAGCACCUCCUACGGGCGGCGCUCGCGGAGACGGCCUCGCCUUUGGCGCCGCGGAGCCCCGCUGCUCGCGGUGGCGGCCGGGGAGGUGUCGUACACUGAGCCGGAGGAGGCGCUGCUGGAGGCCCUCGUCGGCGUACAGGGCCGUGGCCGUGCAGUCGCGCCGCGCCAGCUCCAGGAGGUGGAAAGCGCAGUGCAGACUCUGGAGGCGCUGGAAGGUGUGCCCGAUCCGACCUCUUCAAGUUUAAUUGAAGGUAGUUGGAAGCUCAUAUUCACUACAAGACCAGGGACGGCAUCCCCCAUUCAGAGGACAUUCGUUGGAGUUGACUCUUUCAGCGUCUUUCAGGAAGUUUACCUUAGAACAGAUGAUCCAAGGGUGGUCAACGUUGUCAAGUUUUCAGAAACAGUUGGUGAACUGGCAGUACAGGCAGAAGCGACUAUAAACGAUGGGAAGCGCAUUCUCUUCCGUUUUGACCGAGCAGCAUUCGCUUUCAAGUUCUUGCCAUUUAAGGUUCCAUAUCCGGUGCCAUUCAGGCUUCUUGGGGAUGAAGCAAAGGGUUGGCUUGACACUACAUACUUAUCUCGUAGUGGGAACAUACGCAUUUCAAGGGGAAACAAGGGAACCACAUUUGUUCUCCAGAAAAGUGCAGACCCAAGGCAAAUGUUGUUGUCAGCUAUAUCUGCAGGAACCGGAGUAAAAGAGGCUAUAGAUGAUCUUACUUCAAGCAGAAAAGGGGUUGUGGUUGAUAUGAAUACCCUAGCGGGAGAAUGGCAACUGUUAUGGGCUUCAGAGAGUGAGAGUGGAGGUGGAAGCUGGUCAUCUGUUGCAUCUGCCGGUCUCAAGGAUUUCCAGACCAUAAAGGAAGAUGGGCAACUGAAGAAUUUGGUGAACCCCUUUCCAGGUGUCAGCCUCAGUGCAAGAGGCAACAUAUGCAAAACUGGGAACAACAAUACCUUCAGCGUGUCCAUGAAUGAAGGCGUUACUCAAGUUGGUGGCGUACAGUUUCCUUUAGAAACCGGAGGAGAAUUUGUCAUGGAGAUCUUGUACAUUGACAAUAAGAUAAGAAUAUCUAGCCUCAACCAGCACAAGCUUGUUCAUUUACGCAUUGUAAAUAAAACAUAA
rnacentral:rRNA from 1 species